GAUGAACGCUGGCGGCGUGCUUAACACAUGCAAGUCGAACGAUGAAGCCCAGCUUGCUGGGUGGAUUAGUGGCGAACGGGUGAGUAACACGUGAGUAACCUGCCCUUAACUCUGGGAUAAGCCUGGGAAACUGGGUCUAAUACCGGAUAGGAGCGUCCACCGCAUGGUGGGUGUUGGAAAGAUUUAUCGGUUUUGGAUGGACUCGCGGCCUAUCAGCUUGUUGGUGAGGUAAUGGCUCACCAAGGCGACGACGGGUAGCCGGCCUGAGAGGGUGACCGGCCACACUGGGACUGAGGGACGGCCCAGACUCCUACGGGAGGCAGCAGUGGGGAAUAUUGCACAAUGGGCGCAAGCCUGAUGCAGCGACGCCGCGUGAGGGAAGACGGCCUUCGGGGUGUAAACCUCUUUCAGUAGGGAAGAAGCGAAAGUGACGGUACCUGCAGAAGAAGCACCGGCUAACUACGUG
rnacentral:rRNA from 1 species